rnacentral:lncRNA from 1 species
UUUUCAGGAUCACGAUUCAUUGAAAUACACUCUUUAAGGAAUUCCUCCUUGAUGAGUCCAUCACUUGUGUAUGCAAACUCACCGCCAGUUUCAUGUGAACAUGCACAAGGCAAGGAUAAUGAUAGACAAUCACCAGAACAGGUUGAACAACAAUUAUUAUCUCCUAUACGAGCUAGAGAAAAAUUUACAUAUGCAUUUUGGAAAACAGCAUUUUUGGGUAUGUAGAAGAAAGAUGGCGGAGACUUGUCAUUAAAUUCAUUCACCAGGGUAAUUACUACUCUUUCUUGUCCCUUGGCUAUAUCAACAACGUCAUGGAGUGAACUUAUCCUUUCAGGUGUCAAUUGACGCUCCUGGCUAACCACAACAUGCUGGAAGUUUGUGUCUUCAAGAUCAUUCUCUUUAUUUUCUUCAUCUGUUACACAGAAAUUUUCACUGGCCUUCUUGUUAAGCUGCAUGCCGUCAUCCACACCAUCACAAGAUGGAGGAAGUUUUGGUUCUUGGAGCAGAGCUACCUCCUCAUCAAACUGAGAACCGACUGAUCCAUUCAAAGAAUGAAAGCGCGUGCCUUUAGCACCUAAAGCAUCUGUUAAAAAGAUUUUUUGAAUGAAUCAAUAAUGAGUUUCACAUUUAUGGUUUCUGGAGUUAAGAGGAUUCAGUUCAAAAUUUAUUUCAUAAGUUUCAUCAAGGAAAAGUUCAUAUCAUAAGUUUUGUAUGAUCUGAGACAUUUAUCCUCCAAAAUUUUAGUGCUGCAUCAAGACUAGGCAUAUGGAAGUCAGGCCUUCCAAAAGUCAAGUUGCAGAUCAUAAAUUUUCACCUCUCCAAAAGGUGAGGAAGCAAUCUCAAGGUUUAAACAAGAUUCACCUGAAACCAUUGCCGGGUUGCCAUUGUUUCUCGUUUCAUUUGAAAUGGGAACCCCAUCAGCUGUGCCUUUUUCACCCAUAAACUGUAACAGAUCAGGACCAUUAUUUUCUCUGAUCGAACCAUUUCCACUAGAUGACUCUCCUUUACUUGAUGGAUCUGAAAAUGAUGAACUCACAAAAACUCAGCUAUAUUUCCUAUGAAUAAAUAAAGGCAAAUGCAGAAGGUAAACCUUAAAUUGAAUAUGUCAGACAUAUGCCAAAUAUGUUGGUAGUUCAAAUAAGUCACAAUCUGGGACCUCAAUUGAAUAACCCACAAAUGGGGCAGCAAAUACUUCUCUCAACAGUCAACAUCCAAUACAUGAAAAUCAAUCAAUUACAUUAGAAAGUCAUAACAAUCAAGUACAUUAGAAAGACAUAAUCAAUAUGCUUCCAUUUUGACAAAUAUUUCAAAGUAAAUCACCUCAUCCUAUUGAACGAGGUCAAAAAUACCAGAGGUCUUGAACUUUCAAAAAAAACCUAAAAACUUUACAGAAACCAGCAAACACCAGGACCAGGUAUUUCCAGAAGCCAAAUGGGCAGAUGAUUCCAACGAUUCAAGUGAAGUGGAGGACCAAUUAUGUGGACAAAAACUAGAUGGGUACCAAUAAAGAAUAGAUAAGCAGAAGCAAAGCUCACAUAAACUUACAAAAGUAACUUUUGUCAAAAUGAUAGUAACUUUCAGUCAGGAUGGAUAACAUAUACCUGGCUGGGUGACUGCAGAAGGAACCUCAAGCUUCGACACAUCAUAGGUGACAGGCUCUUCUUUAACUAAAACAUGACCGGUAGUGGUCUUCUGUUUGGGUAACCCGGCAAUGCUGGGCUGAAGGUUUGGCUCUUUAUGGCAUCCAGCAAGAGAUGACCUCUUCUCCCCAGAAGGAAUUUGUGGUGAGAGAGUUCCCUUUCCUCUGUCUCUCAGGCGCAUUGGAUGAGAAACUGAAUUGGAUUCAGUUCUCAAACUGGUCUUUUGCUGACUUUUAUUGACAGCACUAGGCUGAGAGGGAUCGCUCCUCUCCUGUGACUCAGCCCUCAAUUUUUUAGUAUUGGGCUGAGGUGAAUCUGCUUUGUCUUGUGCAAUUCAAACCAGCCAUUCAAAAGCCAACAAAAAAAUGCAGAAGACUAGGCAUAAGAAACAAUCUACACAAAGUGGUUCAAGUGUGCUCCAACAGAACAAUCGGAAACAGAAUUGUGUACAUGCUGGCAGAGGAAAAUUACAUUCCAAAUCCUUUACUUCCAACUUACAGAAUGGGAAAGCACUCAGUGGAGAUUCCUCUUCAGUAAGGCAUAGGUUAAUUUAAGAAGGGGGAAAUGUAGAGGAUUUGGAGAAAAUUGAAGCACAAGAAUAAAAGCAAUUUCCUUUCGAGACCCUUGUUGCAGCAACCCAAAAAUUUAAUUAUACUCGAAAGCUUAGUGAAGGAGGCAUUGGUCUUGUUUAUAAGGUAAAAUUUAACUUGUGGGCAUUUGAAUUUUUCCCAAUAAAAGAAAAAAGAAGGAUAGAAGUUUUCCCCAUCUCUAAAAGGGUUCUACUUGAAGGAAUCUUUUAGCUACUACGGUGCUACUGUUGGGAACAUUGAUCCAUCAACACUUGGUGCAUUUUCCUUCGGUCAGCUUGUCAUAGAAGGAUGUUAGCAGAAUCAGAAGAACUAGAAGCUCGGAACUCUACUUUGGGAAAUGGUCCCGCCAAUGCUAUACUGGGCACUAUAGAAGCUACAAAGACUGAGAAAGGGCCCUUACCCUCCCUAACCUUAUUAUAGACUUCCGAAAAAUCCGAAUAUAUGAGGAUUCCCUCACCUUAUAAGUUCAACAAAUCAUCGAAAUGCUCUCUCUGAAGAUUCAACAAGCUAUUAGCUAUGCAAGGGUUUCUUAGAGUAGAUAGCUCUAUCUAUCAUAGUGAAAUAGAUUGAAAGAAAUCUUCCUUUUUCCCCCCUUGGCUUCAUUACUCUGCUUGUUGCCAGCACUAUUCACUAUUAUUAAGAAAGAGCAGAAGUGGUCUUCUUUUACAGCAUAUUUAAACUUAAACGAGGUGACAGUGAAUCAUGCCUAUAAGUGAAAUACUUACUACUUGGACGCUUUACGCUGCGGCAGAACCGGCUGCCACAUUGACAGCGAAAUGCCUUAACGGGAUGAUCGUGGUCAUCAAAAUCAAUACCAUAAUCCUGCGAGGAUAACAUUGAGACGUUUUAACAAAGAGCAUAUUCAGAUACAUAAAUUUAUGCUAUGUGUAGCCAUCAAAUUGUUAUUUAAUUUUAAGAGCACGUGAUUGAACAUACACAUAGAUAAAAGAGAGUGAACAAAGCAGUUAACUGCACAUAUAGUACACAUUUGAUUUUAUUACACAUAGUAACAAUCAUAGACAUAAAAAUGGCGAACAAAAGGGCAGAAGUGAGAACAUUUACUUAGAAUUCAAAAUCUUAUGUUGCUGAAUUUUCAGACAUAUGAUAACCCUUUAAGUUAGAGAUUAGUCUAUACUCUAGGAAUUUUCCUACUGCAUUUAUUCCAGCAGGAAUAUUGUUCUUAUGUUAAACAAGCAGCCCUAGACACAGAAUAGCCUAUUUUGUGAAGGUCUCUUAGUUUUGGCCUGAUGCAGGUCAACCAAUUUUUUGUACUUCUUUACUUACCUAUCAAUACACAUUUAAAAUAUCACAUGUACCGUGGGUCACCCUUGCCAACAGUGGUUAUGGUCAUGGCCCAAGACCUUCCUUAUUUUAUUGAGUGAGAGGAAGGGGACAGUUGAGUGGCCAGUUCACUAGCUAGUUCAGUCGAGUUAUAAUGACUCGUACAGAUGAAAUCAAACUCAGAUGUGGAACAUUGAAUUCAUCAUCAACCCUUUUUCAUUUAUAUAGCCCGUGCCUACGUUAUAAUGCUCCUAUUUCCUUUGGAAUUGUACAAAUUAUGUCCUCCUACGAGAAAUAAUUAUUCACUCCCCAAAAAUGCCCUGAAGUACAUAAACAAGGAUACUUGUUCCUUAGAUGUGAGGGUAAAAGUGAAAAGUUACAUCAACCAUCCACUUUUAUCAACUAUUUUAUAAAACUCUGUGCCAUUUCAAAUCACUUCAUUGAGUUAUGGAUGAAGGAUUAAUAUUUAAUAUGGUGUGGCUUCAGCAAAGGUAAACAAUAAAAGGUGGGAGCCAAUGAACAAUCUAACACGUUCAAAACUCAUUUCAAAAAACUAUUACAUGCACAAUUCAAUUUAUUAAGACAAACAGUCGUGCAACCAAGAUGUAACCAGAUACCACCACAUAGAAUCUAACUACAAUGUCCAGACAAGAAAAUUUAAGGAUGCAGCCAUAUCAAACCAUACGCUAAACUGCAGCUACCAUCCCCACGUGUAUGGUCUUUCGCACUUUUAACCUCAUCUUUUGUUCUUGGUAUCAAGCUCCUGGAUCUUUUAGCCUCAUUUUCUCAGUUUUCUAAAGUCCACCCAAUGGAAACAAAUUCUCUUGCUUAGAGGCCUAUAUUCGUACAAAUUAGGUAGGAAAAAGAAUUGGCAAAAGAUCAACUUUAGCAUAAUCCAAAUUCCAAUGUGGAAGCUAUAUUGUGAUUAUUUAAUAAUUAGAGGGUGGGUGUUGACAGAUUCUAUGUUCAGAAAGGGAAGUCUUGGUUUUAAUUCUUAGCAAGUCUGUAGUUAUUUUGCAUGAGAUAGCACAAAAUCAGCAGCAGCAGAUUAGUAAGAGGUUACCCUUCCUGGGUGUAGGUGUACGAGUUAUUCAAAAUAAGAUAAAGGAAAAAAAAAAAUUAAUGAAUGCAAGCAUAUAACUUAACAAAACAACAAACUAAGCCUUAUUCUUAUAAAAUUUAGGAUCAGCUACACAUGCUUUUUCACUACUCCUUGCAGUCCAUCUCCACAUCCAUGGGAAGAUCUAAGGCAAUCAGAAUGCUUUUAACUCCGGUAUACCAGGUAAAUUUUUGUCUAACUCUCCCUUUCUAAAAUAUUCUAUUAGGAUCUCAUCACUCUUGUGAAAGGGAGUUUCUUUAGGUGACAUCCUCCAACCACCUAACUCAUCCUACUCUCAAUUUAUCCUCAAUGGGUGCCUUCAUCUGUUCCCAAAAAACCAACUAAAAUAUUACUAGUAGGAUAGAUGGUUUCCAACUAGCAAUGAAGAGGUUGAAAUUUGCUUAAGCUUACACUGCAUUUUCAUUCAAACGGAUUUAUGACAUUUUCGAGACACUAAGACUCCUUUAUCAAUGACAUAGUGCUCCCUCAAAAUGAAACCAAUUUCAGUAAAAUAUGAUCUAGAUGAAAAACGCCCACCAAUAUUAUUGCCACAUUUUCACAGUUCCAAAUCGACCAUAUUCUAGCUCCUCGAAAUCAUAAAGCAAGUGAUUUUCCCAUUAAUUGUUCACAAUAGUCGAAUAUACAUUACUAAGAACAGUAGACAUCUAUACCUCCCUAGAACAACAAAAAGCACGUUUAUACAUAACGUAUUUCAAUGAAAUAAAUCCUACUUACCCAAGUGAGUUCUUCCAUAGCUUUUACCUUUCUUGUAGUGAAGAAGGCAAGCUGCAUUAAGAGAUGCAAAAUUCAAUAAAACUGUGGACACAAAUGAUUAACAGCAGUCGCCAUGGAAAACGGAAAAGGUUAACCAUUAUGGAUAGGAUUUCAUACAUGGUAAUAGUGGUGAUCAGGUGUCUCCACUUCCACAGGUAUCUCCACCAUGUUUGAAUCGAAACACCUAGCAGGAUAUAAAAAUGGCUAUUAAGAAAUCUGAAAACGAAAUCAACCAAAGGCUCUGAGAAAGAGAAAUCUCUUCUAUAAAAUUUAAUGCAUUCUACAUUCUGGAGGCAGACGGGAUUGGAGACAAAAGAAUUUGUCUUUGACAAGGAUGUUGACAUAUUUAAGCAAACGCAAUUUUAUGGUUAUAUGUAUGUGCUUCUGCGCACCUGUGGAGGGAGAGAGGGACUCAAUUACAAAAAUGAAAGAGUUCUAGGAAGUCAGCAUUAUAGCCAGGGUUGAAUAGGAUAAUCUAAUAAAUGAAAUAAAAAUGUUUAACCUAAACCUUACCUUCUUCAGUUUCCCCAUCUUAUCUGAACAUUAUCAUAAACAAUGUGAUAAACAGACAGCCUUUCAUUUGUAUUGAUUGUCAAGACCUUAAACAAGGCUCUACUAAGCUCUUCAAUGGAGCAACUUUUGACAACACGAAAGAUUCAUGUUAUGAUCCUUUGCCUUGGUUUGCUCUCUCUCAUUUUUUGAAUAAGCUAGAAACAUAUUACUAACUCGCUAUCACACUAGAGAUUAAGACCAAGAGACAUGGUGACUGAACAGUGAACUUCACGAAAAAGAACAAUAAUUCACAAAAUGAAUGCGUUCUCAAUCAACUGAACUUACCUAUGGUUGAUAAACCUUGCUACGUUACCAUAAUAUGUAGCAUCUAAACAAAGAGCAUCUUCAUCCUUUAAAACAACUUCCGAACACCAAUCAGCAUCAAGGAGCACAGGAUAUGAAUGUUCUUCCCCUUUGGAGCUCCGUACACGAUCAUAUAGCUCCGCAUUUGUUAAAACUUCUCCAACAUAUUCGCAGACAAAGGCACCUUUUGGCAGAUCCUCCAAGGUACGUAAACCCCACCCUUUUCCACCAGGAGUCAUAAACACCUGAAGAAAAAAUUAUAUAAGGAAAAGUUAGUGCAAUCAUGGAAAAACUUAUUAUUAAAGCAUCAACGAGAUCAUAAGACUCGAUAAUCAAGCAAAAAGAACAUGGGGUUGGGUCUAGGUCCAAACAUAGGCAGGAACUCCUACCUGUAAAUUGCGACUUAUUCCCCUUUGUACCACUCGAUUGCCGCACUGUAUAUUACACCCACAUUUCAACCAACAUUCUUUGAUGAACUUCCUCACCAAAUGACCCUUGCAAGAUCCAACGAUAUCUUCAUUUUUUGACCUUUCCAGUGGACAUUCCUUACAGAAGUACUGGCAGUGUUUUUCAGGAUCACGAUUCAUUGAAAUACACUCUUUAAGGAAUUCCUCCUUGAUGAGUCCAUCACUUGUGUAUGCAAACUCACCGCCAGUUUCAUGUGAACAUGCACAAGGCAAGGAUAAUGAUAGACAAUCACCAGAACAGGUUGAACAACAAUUAUUAUCUCCUAUACGAGCUAGAGAAAAAUUUACAUAUGCAUUUUGGAAAACAGCAUUUUUGGGUAUGUAGAAGAAAGAUGGCGGAGACUUGUCAUUAAAUUCAUUCACCAGGGUAAUUACUACUCUUUCU